ensembl:lncRNA
UUUAAAAUGGCUUGCUGUGUAUGAAAGACUUCCCCAUAGGCAAGUCCAAUGUCUCAUGGCUGAGAGAAGUGAAAUGUUUACUCUGCUACUGGACAGGGGGAUACAGCCUCUGGCUAAGUCUCCUGUGGAGGUGCUGUCCCCAUGCUCUCACCUCACUUCAGGUUCAGGAUGGAUAGCAACUGAAUGGAGAGGCGAGAAGGCCAGCGGAGAAGAGAUCUAUCCAAGAGAUUCUGAGUGCCACACUGUUAAAACACCAAAAGAGAGAGUUUGGUGGGACUGUUGCUUGUGCAAAAGGAAGUAUGUGGUCAUACAAAUGAAGGCCAAUGCUGUAUGGUUUGUGACCACAAAAUUGCUUUCUUCUGCUAGACUGAAAAAUAAUUAAGAGUUUACCAACUAUUUGGAGAGGAUCUUUUUCCAAUUUAAGUAAUUUUUGCAGCUGAAUUUGUUGGUGUGCAUACUACUCACAUCUUCUUCAUUGCUACAAGGAACAAUUGCAAAUUAUCAGACAAGUGAAAAUCUGCCUUUCCAGUGAUGUGAAGAACUUCAUAACAGUGUCAUCAUAAAAAUGAUUCUCCUCAUAUGAAUGACUCCAGAGAGAUGUUGCCAUUGUGCAGGUUCUGUGGAAAUGGACUUCUCCACAGAUUGAAAGGGGUGAAAGCUGCGACAGCUUGUACAAAGGUGUGCCCUCCCCAAAGUGAUAAUCGGUAUCACUAAGCUUUUUCCUUGUGCCUUCUAUUUUGUGAUGUUGGUCCAUGAUGUCAGAGGCAGAUGUUGGUGGUACGGCAGUGCAGGUUGAACCUUCCCACCAGUAUCCAAUGUGACAGAUGGCAGUGGAGGGGCAGUCUGAGUGAAUGGCGUCUGACGUGGAAGUGCAGAUGAAGCAAAGGUAUGGAAUUUAAUUCCUCCAUGUGGAAAAAGUGGCACCCACUGACAUUCAUCGAUGCUUGGUGAACACUUGUGGAGACCAAAGAGUGAAUGUGAGCACAGUGAGGUGGUGGGUGGUGUGUUUCAGCAGUGGCAACAGUGACACUGGGUCACCUCUGCCGGUGCAGAUUUUUAUGAGCACAGCAUGCAGGCUUUUAUUCAUUGCUGGCAACAAGGCAUAGCUAAUAGGGUGAGUACACUGAAAAGUAGUGUUUUGUAGCUGAGAAUUUGCUUUUUCAAAUACUGUUAUUGUACUCUUUGUAUCUGUUGUAGUUUCCGUGGAAAUAAAUAGGAGGCAUUACUUUUGG